rnacentral:rRNA from 1 species
UACAGAGGUCUCAAGCGUUGUUCGGAUUCAUUGGGCGUAAAGGGUGCGUAGGUGGCGCUGUAAGUCGGGUGUGAAAUUUCGGAGCUUAACUCCGAAACUGCAUUCGAUACUGCCGUGCUUGAGGACUGGAGAGGAGACUGGAAUUUACGGUGUAGCGGUGAAAUGCGUAGAUAUCGGGAGGAACACCAAUUGCGAAGGCAGCUUGCUGGGACGGUACUGACGCUGAGGCGCGAAAGCGUGGGGAGCAAACAGG